UACGGGGGGUGCGAGCGUUGUCCGGAAUCACUGGGCGUAAAGGGCGCGUAGGUGGCCUGAUAAGGGUGUGGUGAAAGUCCGGGGCUUAACCCCGGAUCUGCCGUGCCGACUGUUAGGCUAGAGUGCUGUAGGGGCAGGCGGAAUUCCGGGUGUAGCGGUGGAAUGCGUAGAGAUCCGGAGGAAGACCGAUGGCGAAGGCAGCUUCCUGGUCCAUUUCUGACGUUGAGGUACGAAAGCGUGGGGAGCAAACAGG
rnacentral:rRNA from 1 species